UGUUGCGUUAUUUAUUCGUCCGAAAACGUAUCAGUUGUAUAUAAUUACGCGUCAGAAAUGUCACAUGUGUUACUGCUUUAUUUGAUAAUAAAGACAGGUAAUGAUUAUUAGAUCCUUCUCUUGGUUCUAGUGAUGAUAUUUGCGUUUGUCGUUUUUUUUUACCGCGAUGCUGUUCCGUUAGACAAUUUUUCGUUGAGUCGUUGAAUUUUUUAACAAGCAGAAUUGUUUUUAGUCAGAAUUUAUGUUUCGUACUUGUCGUUAUUUUUCGUUUUUUUUGAAAGUUUAUCGUGCUUGUAAAACUCGGUAAUGCCGUACGAAUUAAUCGUGAAUAUCAUAUCAUUGUGUAUAAUUAGUGCUAUAUAAGUGCUAUAUAAGUAUUAAUGCUAUAUAUAAGUGAGUGAAUCUAACCAAACACUGGAGCAACGGAAUUAAUAGAUUGCAACUGCAAGAUAUCAAUUGCACAAUUUUCUGAAAUUCAAGAUAUUUUUCGUUUUUUAUCAUCGGUGGAGCGUGUUUCUUCGUUCAUCUGGCUCUUCUAGACUUUCAACUGCAUUUUAGUGCUUCCCGUUCUGACUGCGUUCUACUACGGUGCGGAAGAAGCUGAAAAUUUACUGGACUAGGAAACAACAAUCGGU